rnacentral:rRNA from 1 species
GACGAACGCUGGCGGCGUGCUUAACACAUGCAAGUCGAACGGAAAGGCCUGCUUUCCCUUGUGGAUUGCGGGUACUCGAGUGGCGAACGGGUGAGUAACACGUGAGUGAUCUGCCCCCAACUUGGGUAUAAGCCUGGGAAACUGGGUCUAAUUCCCGAUAGGACUGCAGGGUGGUGCCUGUGGUGGAAAACGAUUUUCUAGUGGUUGGGGAUGAGCUCGCGGCCUAUCAGCUUGUUGGUGGGGUAAUGGCCUACCAAGGCGGCGACGGGUAGCCGGCCUGAGAGGGUGGACGGUCACAUUGGGACUGGGACACGGCCCAGACGCCUGCGGGAGGCAGCAGUGGGGAAUAUUGGACAGUGGGCGGAAGCCUGAUGCAGCGAGGCCGCGUGGGGGAUGACGGGCUUCGGGUUGUAAACUCCUUUCGACCGCGAGGAAGCCACCUGGUUGGAAGGGUGGUGACGGUAGUGGUAGAAGAAGCACCGGCUAACUACGUG